AAUUCAACUGGUUAAUUCAGCAAUUCAUCUUCUACUCAUGGAGCGUACCAAUGAAAAAAACUUUCAAGAUUUUCAAGUCCCCAGGAGUAUGAUCUUGUGAACAAGUACAAUUAUGUUGCAAGCCUUUGGAAAAGGGUAUCAACAGUAACUGGAGAAUUAC